rnacentral:rRNA from 1 species
GACGAACGCUGGCGGCGUGCUUAACACAUGCAAGUCGAGCGGUAAGGCCCUUUCGGGGGUACACGAGCGGCGAACGGGUGAGUAACACGUGGGUGACCUGCCCUCAGCUCUGGGAUAAGCCUGGGAAACCGGGUCUAAUACUGGAUAUGACUCCAUGACGCAUGUUGUGGGGUGGAAANCCUUGUGCGGCUGAGGAUGGGCCCGCGGCCUAUCAGCUUGUUGGUGGGGUGANGGCCUACCAAGGCGACGACGGGUAGCCGGCCUGAGAGGGCGACCGGCCACACUGGGACUGAGACACGGCCCAGACUCCUACGGGAGGCAGCAGUGGGGAAUCUUGCGCAAUGGGCGAAAGCCUGACGCAGCGACGCCGCGUGAGGGAUGAC